rnacentral:rRNA from 1 species
AGAGUUUGAUCAUGGCUCAGAACGAACGCUGGUGGCGUGCUUAACACAUGCAAGUCGAACGAGAAAGUUUCCUUCGGGAAAUUAGUAAAGUGGCGCAAGGGUGAGUAUCACGUGAAUAAUCUGCCCUCGAGAUCGGGAUAACCUGGCGAAAGCUAGGCUAAUACCGUAUAAGACCACGUUUCAUAAGAAAUGCGGAAAAAGAAGUCUCAACCUUUACUCGGGGAUGAGUUCGCGGACCAUUAGCUUGUUGGUGAGAUAAAAGCUCACCAAGGCUACGAUGGUUAGCCGGCCUGAGAGGGUGAACGGCCACACUGGAACUGAGAUACGGUCCAGACUCCUACGGGAGGCAGCAGUGGGGAAUAUUGCGCAAUGGGCGAAAGCCUGACGCAGCAACGCCGUGUGAGCGAUGAAGGCUUUAGGGUUGUAAAGCUCUGUCAAAUGGGAAGAAUUAUGACGGUACCAUUAGAGGAAGCCCCGGCUAACUCCGUGCCAGCAGCCGCGGUAAUAC